GUCAUAAAGUUUGGUCUAUUCGCCGUGGGUCUGUCGCGAUAUACUCACCCGUGAGCCGCGUCUUAGUCUUCUACUCAAGCAAAAACGACAAAAAAAGCAUGGAGGAAAGCACGUAAAAAGGGUAUCACACCGCGGAAGCUACACAAAGAGGUAUAGAAAAAAACACUUGUCAGGAUUAAGCAUUCGAAAAGCAGCAAAAACUGCAACCUUCUCUAUCCAAUAUUGCGACAGACGAAGUGCUUGUGCGAAGAUAUGUCACAAACAAAGUACAGGAACAAUCCGUCUUGUAGAAAAGAGCCCCAUUAUGAUGCAAGUAAAUUUUUUACUGCCCAACAUGAAGACAGCAUAAAGAAAUGUUGAUUGUUACAAUUUGUUAUUUGGACAAUAAAAAUACAUAAGUCUGAAUGUGAUAAAAACACGUCGACUUUAUAAUGCUAAGAGCAUUUUAAUUCAUAUAAAUAUACAAGUACAAAAUGUUUUUUCUUUUUUCCCGGAAAGAGUUUGUGCGUAACUUUUAAGAUGUUCAUAAUUAUUGUUAAAAAUUAAGUUUUAAGGCUGAUUUGUUGGUUCUUAUAUGUAUGUAUAACCCGAAACUUAAUAAUUAUAAAAAGUUAUAAAUAG